AUCUCUUAGGAGAUAUCCAAAAGCUUGGGACGAUACAGAGGUGAUCAGCAUGGGCCAUGUGCAAGGAUAAUCAGCACAAAUAGAAAAAUGGUCCAAAUUUGA
rnacentral:snRNA from 1 species